ensembl:lncRNA
GUUGUGUUGUCUUGUGUUGUUUUUCCAUUGUGUUGUGCUAAUUGAAUUGUGUUGUCUUGUUUCUGUUGUGUUGUUUUGUUUCCGUUGUGUUGUGUUAAUUUAAUUGUGUUGUGUCUUGUUUUCGUUGUGUUGUGCUUAUUUAAUUGUAUUGUGUCUUGUUUCCAUUGUGUUGUGCUUAUUUAAUUGUAUUGUGUCUUGUUUCUGUUGUGCUUAUUUAAUUGUGUUGUGUCUUGUUUCUGUUGUGCUAAUUUAAUUGUGUUGUGUCUUGUUUCUGCUGUGUUGUGCUUAUUUAAUUGUGUUGUGUCUUGUUUUCGUUGUGUGUUUUUUCCACUGUGUUGUGCUAAUUUAAUUGUAUUGUGUCUUGUUUCCGUUGUGUGUUUGUCACAGUUUCCACUGUGUUGUGCUAAUUUAAUUGUGUUGUCUUGUUUUCAUUGUUGUGCUAAUUUAAUUGUGUUGUGUCUUGUUUUCGUUGUGUUGUGCUAAUUUAAUUGUGCUGUGUCUUGUUUUCGUUGUGUUGUAUUGUUUUGUUUCCUUUGUGUUGUGUCUUGUUUUCAUUGUGUUGUGCUAAUUUGUGUUCUCUUGUUUUCAUUGUUGUGCUAAUUUAAUUGUGUUGUGUCUUGUUUCCAUUGUGUUGUGUCUUCUUUCUGUUGUGCUAAUUUAAUUGUGUUGUGUCUUGUUUUCGUUGUGUUGUGCUAAUUUGUGUUCUCUUGUUUUCAUUGUUGUGCUAAUUGAAUUUGCUGUGUCUUUUUUUGUUGUGUUGUAUUGUUUUGUUUCCUUUGUGUUGUGUCUUGUUUCCGUUGUGUUGUGCUAAUUUAAUUGUGUUGUGUCUUGUUUCUGCUGUGUUGUGCUAAUUUAAUUGUGUUGUGUCUUGUUUUCGUUGUGUUGUGCUAAUUUAAUUGUGUUGUGUCUUGUUUCUGCUGUGUUGUGCUAAUUUAAUUGUGUUGUGUCUUGUUUUCAUUGUGUUGUGCUAAUUUAAUUGUGUUGUGUUUUGUUUUCGUUGUGUUGUGUUGUCUUGUUUUGUUUCCUUUGUGUUGUGUCUUGUUUUCGUUGUGUUGUGCUAAUUUAAUUGUGUCGUGUCUUGUUUUCGUUGUGUUGUACUAAUGCCUUGGCGUUGCAGCUUGUUUUAGUAUUUUAUUUAUAUACUAUAAAUAAAUAAUUUGAAUUA